CUUUCUUUGCUGGCGACCGGCGCACGGGUGAGUAACACGUAUCCAACCUGCCCUUUACUCGGGGAUAGCCUUUCGAAAGAAAGAUUAAUACCCGAUAGUAUAAUGAUUCCGCAUGGUUUCAUUAUUAAAGGAUUCCGUAAAGGAUGGGGAUGCGUUCCAUUAGGUUGUUGGUGAGAUAACGGCUCACCAAGCCUUCGAUGGAUAGGGGUUCUGAGAGGAAGGUCCCCCACAUUGGAACUGAGACACGGUCCAA
rnacentral:rRNA from 1 species